AUACGGAGGGUGCAAGUGUUAAUCGGAAUUACUGGGCGUAAAGCGUACGUAGGCGGUUCGUUAAGUUAGAUGUGAAAGCCCCGGGCUUAACCUGGGAACUGCAUUUAAAACUGGCGAACUAGAGUUGAGUAGAGGGGAGUGGAAUUUCAGGUGUAGCGGUGAAAUGCGUAGAGAUCUGAAGGAACACCAGUGGCGAAGGCGACUCCCUGGACUCGAACUGACGCUGAGGUACGAAAGCGUGGGUAGCAAACGGGAGUAGAAACCCUAGUAGUCC
rnacentral:rRNA from 1 species